UGAAAUGCGAAAAGUAAUGCGAUUUGCAUGAAUCUGUGAGUCAUCAAGUCUUUGAACGCACCUUGCACCGUAUGAGCAAUCGUACGGUAUACCUGUUUGAGAAUCGUAAAACUCUCUUUCUGCUACCCUUUGGGGUUUGUGGAAGAUUUGUUGGUUGUGCACUCUGGUGUACUCUGAUUAAAAGGAUCAAGUCUGGAUUUGGCUGGUGGCCAAGGACACUGUGUGCUAGAGACGUCGCUUCGGCUGACUGUCUUCUCACAGUGCGUCCUGGGCUAUUCAAAGCUGGUCUCAUCCUAGACUUUUUCAGUGUGGACUUGUCCAUACAACCCUUUUUUUUGAUCUCAAAUCAGGUAAGGCUACCCGCUGAACUUAA
rnacentral:misc_RNA from 1 species